rnacentral:rRNA from 1 species
AGAACGAACGCUGGCGGCAUGCCUAAUACAUGCAAGUCGAACGAACUCUUCGGAGUUAGUGGCGCACGGGUGCGUAACGCGUGGGAAUCUGCCCCUUGGUUCGGAAUAACAGUUGGAAACGACUGCUAAUACCGGAUGAUGACGAAAGUCCAAAGAUUUAUCGCCAAGGGAUGAGCCCGCGUAGGAUUAGCUAGUUGGUGAGGUAAAGGCUCACCAAGGCAACGAUCCUUAGCUGGUCUGAGAGGAUGAUCAGCCACACUGGGACUGAGACACGGCCCAGACUCCUACGGGAGCAGCAGUAGGGAAUAUUGGACAAUGGGCGAAAGCCUGAUACCAGACAAUGCCGCGUGAGUGAUGAAGGCCGUUAGGGUUAGUAAA